UUGAUUUAAUCAUUGUGCGUGAUUAUACUUCUUCAUAAUGAUUUGAAUUCUCACCCUUUCUGUUUGAAUGUUACCUUUACAUGGGUAUCAUGCAGAUACUCAGGAGUAGUAUUGCUGAAGUAAGUGAACCGUAGCACUCGAGGUUAGCUGGAGAGCUUCGGUGCUUUGUUUUAGAGACUAAGUAGUGAGUCAAUGCUCUGGUCAUGUAACACUGGGUAGGUUGUUAGUAUUGAACUUGUGUCUUAUUUGGAAACGUUUUAU
rnacentral:lncRNA from 1 species